rnacentral:rRNA from 1 species
GGCCAGACUCCUACGGGAGGCAGCAGUGGGGAAUAUUGCACAAUGGGGGAAACCCUGAUGCAGCAACGCCGCGUGAAGGAAGACGGUUUUCGGAUUGUAAACUUCUGUUCUUAGUGAAGAAUAAUGACGGUAGCUAAGGAGCAAGCCACGGCUAACUACGUGCCAGCAGCCGCGGUAAUACGUAGGGGGCAAGCGUUAUCCGGAAUUACUGGGUGUAAAGGGAGCGUAGACGGUGAUGCAAGUCUGGAGUGAAAGGCGGGGGCCCAACCCCCGGACUGCUCUGGAAACUGUAUGACUUGAGUGCAGGAGAGGUAAGCGGAAUUCCUAGUGUAGCGGUGAAAUGCGUAGAUAUUAGGAGGAACACCAGUGGCGAAGGCGGCUUACUGGACUGUAACUGACGUUGAGGCUCGAAAGCGUGGGGAGCAAACAGGAUUAGAUACCCCUGUAA